CCGGCGAGCCCCGCGCUCGGCCCUCGGCGCGCUCAGCGCAUCGCUCCCGGCAGCGCCGCCCCCGCCCCCGCCCCCGCCCCCGCCCCCGCCCCGGCCCCCGCCCCCGCCCGCCGCCCGCCGCGGGGCCGGCUCUGUGCCGCCGACGGCUCGGUCCCCGCCGGGCGCGCACCCUCGGCCACCCUCAGCCGCCCUCCGCCGCCGGCCGCCGGCCCAUGCCCCGCGCGCCGCUCGCCGCUCGCCGGCCGCAGCUGCAGGCCCUGCCCCGGGCGGCCCGCGGGCGGGGGCGGGGGCGGGGGCGGGGCGGGGCGGGCGGGGCGGGCGCGGCGCCCGGGCCGCGGGGCGGGAGGGCGCGAGCACCGGGGCCGACGCGCCGCGCACCUGCCCGAGCCGCGGGCGACGCGGGGCCGCGCCGCUCCGCUCCGCUCCGGCCGGCUCCGCGCGCCGCGGCCCCCACCCCCGGAACGCGCCGGCUCUGGGCGGGACGGCGAGGUGCCCGGGCUGUCCCCGCCCCGGAGGCCGCGCCGGGCGUCGCUCCGGCGACACGGGCCCUUUCCCCCCGCGGGCCCCGGCGGCGGGGCGCUACGGGCCGGGCCCGGGAGCCGCGGGGGCGUCGGGGCCGUCGGGGCCGUCGGAGCCGUCGGAGCGCGGCCUGCGCGGGGCGCUGUUUGCCGCGUUCCCACGCCCCCGGGGGCCCCGCCGGCUCCCCGCGCCCUGCGCCGCUCUGCCCCCCGCGCCACCGUCGCUUCCACUUCUCCCCUCCCUGCCCCCGGCCACGAGGAAGAAAAACAUCUCUCUGCGUCUCAGGCUUGGAGGUGCACAUGUCCCGGAGCUGCGGCAAUAUAAUUAUUUCGCGGAAAGCCGGUGAUUUGCCUCGCUCAGACCGACUUGCUGCGCUAAUUACAGGCCGCCUGCGGUUCUAACGUAGGGAAUCCAUGAGAUGUCAACAGAGGGCACAAGGGGAGAAAGAAAAGAGAAAAGAAAAGAAAGAAAAAAAGAAAAGGAAAGAAAAAGAAGAAAAGAAAAAGAAAGAAAAACACUCCCCACCUGAAUCGAUGCAUAUAAGGACCAGUCAUCUUAAGACUUUGAAAAUAAUGCAGGGACAAGUCCAGGAUAAAAUUAGAGAAGGAUCCUAGGAGAAGACACAGAGUACUUCAGUUAAUAUUUUAUAAAGCAUUAGUGUUUCAAAAGUGCGACAGAAUUGAAUGUAUGGACGUCCUGUCGUCUUAAAAAGAAUCAUUGAGCCAUCCAAAAAUCUGCCUCCCUAUCUAAAUUCACUGGAAAUCUUCAUUAAAGUUAUAGGCUUCGGUUCCCCAGGAAGAAAGGAGCAACAAAUAAUAACUUUGUAGAACUGUGUAGCUCAACAUGGGAAGCUCCAUGCAAGGAGCUUUAUCUGUUUCUUUGCCGAUUAUCACAAAGCCCCAAAGAGAUAGACAUUCUUGUAUCCAUUAUCCAUUAUACAUUCUUGUACCCAUUUUGUAAGCAAAGAAUUUUAGAUGAAGAAAUGUUUAAAAACAAACAGAUGUAUCCAAGUUUACCAAUCAAAAAGGGUCUAGAAGGCAUUUAAACAGCCUGUCCAUGCUAACAUUGGUUUCAGCCCACCCUCCAGUUGGGGACCAGUUACCCGUAAAUGGCAGGUCAUUUUCUCAACAGCCUUUACAUAUAACAGUAGAGGAUAAUUUAGGGAAUGUCAAAAAAAAAAAAAAAAAGCCAUAGCAGAAUAAAGUUUUAUUUGCAGUAAGCAAAUCAGGCCAGUUCUACAAGUUUGGUGAAAUAAUAAUAGGGCAAGGACACAUGCAGACAAUAAUUUCUAGGAGUUUGAGUCACAUAAUGCUUUUAAAAACAAUUGAAAAACAAUUGCGCAUCAGGGUGCCUGGGUGGCACAGCAGGUGGGCAUCUGACUCUGGGUUUCAGCUUGGGUGGUGAUCUUAGAGUCCUGAGAUCCAGCCCUCUGUCGGGCUCAGCACCGAGUCUGCUUUAGAUUCUCUCUGCCCUUCCCACUACUAUGCUAUCUCUCUCUCUCUCUCUCUGUCUCUCUGUCUCUCUCUCUCCCCUCCCUCCCUUUCUAAAAUAAAUAAAUAUUAAAAAGAUUUUUUAAAAGAAUGUGCAUUAUAAACAAGAAGAUGAAUGAUAAGUCUACAUUUCUGGGAUCUUACUGCCCAGAGUGUGGAAAUCACAGACUCUAGUAUCACUUUACUUUUAUAAAUCUAUGUUAUUGUAGUUAAAGAUUAUCAACACUUUCUCACAUUUACAGAAGUACUCUUUUAUAUAAAUGGAAGAUGAAAGACACAGUUUUAAAAACAAUCUUUUCAUCUUUCCCCUAAAGCAAAACAAGAGGGCAGCCCAGGUGGCUCAGCGGUUUAGCGCAGAGCCUGAUCUU
rnacentral:lncRNA from 1 species